rnacentral:rRNA from 1 species
UACGUAGGGAGCAAGCGUUGUCCGGAAUCAUUGGGCGUAAAGCGCGCGUAGGUGGCUUCGUAAGUCCGCUGUGAAAGUCAAAGGCUCAACCUUUGAAAGCCGGUGGAUACUGUGAAGCUAGAGUACGGAAGAGGCGAGUGGAAUUCCUGGUGUAGCGGUGGAAAUGCGCAGAUAUCAGGAGGAACACCAAUAGCGAAGGCAGCUCGCUGGGACGUUACUGACACUGAGGCGCGAAAGCGUGGGGAGCGAACAGG